rnacentral:rRNA from 1 species
GACGAACGCUGGCGGCGUGCCUAACACAUGCAAGUCGAGCGGGAUCCAUCCGUUAGCAAUACUGGUGAAGAUCUAGCGGCGAACGGGUGAGUAACACGUGAGAAACCUGCCCCAGACUCUGGGAUAACACGAGGAAACUCGUGCUAAUACCGGAUACCUUCUUUUGGUCGCAUGGCCAGCUGAAGAAAGAUUUAUCGGUUUGGGAGGGUCUCGCGGCCUAUCAGCUAGUUGGCGGGGUAACGGCCCACCAAGGCAUCGACGGGUAGCUGGUCUGAGAGGACGAUCAGCCACACUGGGACUGAGACACGGCCCAGACUCCUACGGGAGGCAGCAGUGGGGAAUCUUGCGCAAUGGGCGAAAGCCUGACGCAGCAACGCCGCGUGCGGGAUGAAGGCCUUCGGGUUGUAAACCGCUUUCAGCAGGGAAGAAAAUGACGGUACCUGCAGAAGAAGCCCCGGCCAACUACGUGCCAGCCGCCGCCGUAA